GGCCGGCUGGCCUAAUGGUUAAGGCGUCAGUUUCCGGUUUCCGGAACCAGCUGAAGAUUCUGGGUUCGACUCCCAGGUUGGUCG